UACGUAGGGUGCGAGCGUUAAUCGGAAUUACUGGGCGUAAAGCGUGCGCAGGCGGUUUUGUAAGCCAGGUGUGAAAUCCCCGGGCUCAACCUGGGAAUGGCAUUUGGGACUGCAAGGCUGGAGUGCGGCAGAGGAGACUGGAAUUCCUGGUGUAGCAGUGAAAUGCGUAGAUAUCAGGAGGAACACCGAUGGCGAAGGCAGGUCUCUGGGCUGACACUGACGCCCAUGCACGAAAGCGUGGGGAG
rnacentral:rRNA from 1 species